CAAUGGCACUGCCCGGUAGCUAAAUGCGGAAGAGAUAAGUGCUGAAAGCAUCUAAGCACGAAACUUGCCCCGAGAUGAGUUCUCCCUGAGACUUUAAGUCUCCUGAAGGAACGUUGAAGACGACGACGUUGAUAGGCCGGGUGUGUAAGCGCAGCGAUGCGUUGAGCUAACCGGUACUAAUGAACCGUGAGGCUUAACCUUACAACGCCGAAG
rnacentral:rRNA from 1 species